rnacentral:rRNA from 1 species
AGAGAGAGACAUGCGCGCAUAUCAAUAAGCGGAGGAAAAGAAACUAACAAGGAUUCCCCUAGUAACGGCGAGUGAAGCGGGAAGAGCUCAAAUUUGAAAUCUUAAAGGGUUUCCCUUUACGAAUUGUAGUUUAAAGAAGUGUUUUCUGUUGAGGUUUUGGUAAAAGUUCUUUGGAAUAGGACAUCAUAGAGGGUGAGAAUCCCGUAUUUGACCUUUACUUUCAACUUUGUGAUACACUUUCAAAGAGUCGGAUUGUUUGGGAAUGCAGUCCAAAAUGGGUGGUAAAUUUCAUCUAAAGCUAAAUAUAGGCGAGAGACCGAUAGCGAACAAGUACCGUGAGGGAAAGAUGAAAAGAACUUUGAAAAGAGAGUUAAACAGUACGUGAAAUUGUCAAAAGGGAAGCGUUUGACACCAGUGUUGUUUUUCUGAAAAUCAAUUAAAGAACUGUUUAUGCUAAGUUGUUUAAACUUUAUCAGCUAUCUGUUUAGUUUUGAGCUUUUCUAUAAUGCACUUUUCAGUUAACAAGUCAACAUCAAUUUCUUUUGCUGUAAAAAAGCUUGAGGAAGGUGGCUUGAGAUUCGUCUUAAGUGUUUAUAGCCUCUUGCCUAUGCAGUCGGAGAGAUUGAGGUCUGCAGCGUAGAUCCUUCGGGGCUAAAUGCAUUUGUGCUAAGUUAUAGCAUUUUAUAGACAACUUGUUGACUAUGAUUUGUCUUGUAGCUUACUCGCUUAUGUUAUUUUACCUACGCUUAGGAUGUUGACGCAUGAGAUAUACGC